rnacentral:rRNA from 1 species
UACGGAGGGGGCUAGCGUUGUUCGGAAUUACUGGGCGUAAAGCGCGCGUAGGCGGAUCUGCAAGUUGGGGGUGAAAUCCCGAGGCUCAACCUCGGAACUGCCUUCGAUACUGCGGGUCUCGAGUCCGGGAGAGGUGAGUGGAAUUCCUAGUGUAGAGGUGAAAUUCGUAGAUAUUAGGAAGAACACCAGUGGCGAAGGCGGCUCACUGGCCCGGUACUGACGCUGAGGCACGAAAGCGUGGGGAGCAAACAGG